rnacentral:rRNA from 1 species
AGUAAUACAUAAGUAACAUGCCCUAGACAGGGGGAUAACUAUUGGAAACGAUAGCUAAGACCGCAUAGGUACGGACACUGCAUGGUGACCGUAUUAAAAGUGCCUCAAAGCACUGGUAGAGGAUGGACUUAUGGCGCAUUAGCUGGUUGGCGGGGUAACGGCCCACCAAGGCGACGAUGCGUAGCCGACCUGAGAGGGUGACCGGCCACACUGGGACUGAGACACGGCCCAGACUCCUACGGGAGGCAGCAUG